AUUUUUUUCAUACAAUUACGACAAAUAUCUUCAUUUUGUGGCUCAUUUUGGCCAUCCAAGUGAUUCAUCCGAAGUUGUUCGGUGCCUUGGUUGUAUUUUUUUUUAGUUUAGCCAGGAAAGAAGUGGAAAGCAAUCAUGGCUGACCUUGUUAUGAAGCAGAAAUAGCUGCCGGGAUGGAGGAGGGAAAUAGAAGAAAUAAGUAACAUUCACACGGUCACCUUUUGAGUCACAAUUGACAGUUUUUUUGUUUUCACACUUCCCUUGUGUGCCAUAAUGUUGUCUACCAAAAGGAGAAUGCAGCAGACGAGAAUGGGGGGAAAAAAAAUGUUGAUUUGCAAAAACAACACAUUAUACAACUAAAUGAAGUAUUCCAAGAUUUAAAUCCUUAAACCCGAUCAGGGGAUUGUAAGAAAAUCUGAUCAACGCAAUGAGCGCAUGCUUUCACUAUUGUUGCAUUGCAACUGAGUGAUGAGGGGAAACUCCAAAAGAGGGCUGAAAGAGUGUGGCUAAAUGUCAUUGCUAAUGAGCUCCAGUGAGGAUUAGCGGCUAGUUUGACUGAUAGCUUGCUAGUUGGCCUCAGGCGCUGAAGCUUCGGUGUAACACAAAACAAAACAACUACAAAAAAAGGUGGCGAUGGAAAUGAUUUUGUUUUCAUGGUGACCAAGGAUGCUAGUUAGCUUGUUAGUUAGCUAACUAGGUUGCUAGUUGGUCUUAGGUGCAAAUACUUUGUUGUAACACAAAAAAAUAACUACUUAAAAGUUGGAGAUGGAGAUGCUUUUGCUUACAUGGUGGCCAAGGAUGCUAGUUAGCUUGAUAGUUAGCUAACUAGCCUGACAGCUUGCUAGUUAGGUGCAAAUGCUUUGUUGUAACGCAAAAAAAACAACUACAAAAAAAGUUGGAGAUGGAUACUUUUGCUUACAUGGUGGCCAAGGAUGCUAGUUAGCUUGAUAGUUAGCUUGAUAGCUUGCUAGUUAGCCUUGGGUGGAGAUGGAAAUGAUUUUGCUUACAUGAUGCCAAGGAUGCUAGUUAGAUUGAUGGUUAGCUUGAUAGCUUGCUAGUUAGCCUUAGGCGGAUAAGCUUUGUUGUAAUCAAAAACGACAAGACAAAGCUGGAGAUGAAUUUGCUUUCAUGGAGGCACAAAGACGACAGAUAAAAUUUAAUAAAAAUUGAAGAAGCGAAGUAGAAUCUGAGAAGAAGAGAGGUUUUAAAUGUCUUCAUUUAGUGAGAUUUCACAAAGGGCUUCUUUGCUGUCUGUGGACUUUGCGGACAAGAACAAACAUGGAGGGUUAUUUGGCGAUUCCCAGAUGCUGAAUAACGCAAGGCCAGCCUGUCCUCCGCAGCUGCUUUCUGUGCAUUCAGCAGGCAAACUCAAUAACUUGAAAGGGCAGCAGGAGGUCCAACGCUCCCGACCGUCCUUCUCUCUGCGGACGCUAUUACGGGCGACUUUUAACAGCGCCUGAUGAGCAGCGUCUGCAAACAAGCACAAGAAGCUCACC